rnacentral:misc_RNA from 1 species
GAUGAAGAACGUAGCGAAAUGCGAUACUUGGUGUGAAUUGCAGAAUCCCGUGAACCAUCGAGUCUUUGAACGCAAGUUGCGCCCGAAGCCAUUAGGCCGAGGGCACGCUUGCCUGGGCGUCACACGUCGUUGCCCCCCCAUCUACUCCUUCGGGAUUGCGGGGGGCGGAUGAUGGCCUCCCGUGCGCCUCGCCGCGCGGUUGGCAUAAAUGCCAAGUCCUCGGCGACGCACGCCACGACAAUCGGUGGUUGCGAAACCUCGGUUGCCCGUCGUGUGCGGUCGUCGCGCAUCGAGGGCUCGAAAAAAUUGCCGGGUUCCGGCUCGGCUUUCAACGCGACCCCAGGUCAGGCGGGGUUACCCGCUGAAUUUAAGCAUAUCAAUAAGCGGGGA